CGUAGCUCAGCUGGAUAGAGUACCUGGCUACGAACCAGGCGGUCAGAGGUUCGAAUCCUCUCG
rnacentral:tRNA from 2 species